UUACGGCCACAUCACGUUGAAACAUCGUUCCUGUACGAUCGCCGAAGUUAAGCAAAGUCGAGCCUGGUCAUACCUAGAUGGGUGACAGCUUGGGAAUACCGGGUGCAGUA